rnacentral:rRNA from 1 species
CAUUACCGAAUUGUCAACAAGAGUUGUUGCUGGUCUCUUCAUGGGGGCACGUGCACGCUCUGUUUACACAUCCACUCACACCUGUGCACCCUCUGUAGUUCUAUGGCCUGGGUGGGCUCUGUCCCCCCUGCUGUGGUUCUGCAUCUUUACACACACUCUACAACAAAGUCUCAUGGAAUGUAUGUCGCGUUUAACGCAAUGAAAUACAACUUUCAGCAACGGAUCUCUUGGCUCUCGCAUCGAUGAAGAACGCAGCGAAAUGCGAUAAGUAAUGUGAAUUGCAGAAUUCAGUGAAUCAUCGAAUCUUUGAACGCACCUUGCGCCCUUUGGCUAUUCCGAAGGGCAUGCCUGUUUGAGUAUCAUGAACACCUCAACUCUCAUGGCUCGCCAUGAUGAGCUUGGACUUUGGGGGUCUUGUUGGCUUGUGAGCCAGCUCCUCUUAAAUGAAUUAGCUUGCCGGUGUUUGGUGGCAUCACAGGUGUGAUAACUAUCUACGCUUGUGGCUUCCCAUCAGAUAACCUUCAGCAAUGGAGGUUCACUGGGGCUUAUAAACGUCUCUCCUCGGUGAGGACAGAUUUUGACCGUUUGAUCUCAAAUCAGGUAGGACUACCC